rnacentral:rRNA from 1 species
AGCGAACGCUGGCGGCAGGCCUAACACAUGCAAGUCGAACGAACAUAUCGGGGUUAGUGGCGGACGGGGGAGUAACCGGUGGGAACGUGCAUUUGGGUUCGGAAUAACUCAGGGAAACUUGUGAUAAUGCCGAAUGUGCGCUUCGGCGGAAAGAUUUAUUGCCGUUAGAGGGGCCCGCGUCAGAUUAGCUAGUUGGUUGAGGUAAUGGUUCACCAAGGCGUCGAUCAGUAGCUGGUAAGAGAGGCAGAGCAGCGACACUGGGACUGGGACGCAGCAGAGACUCCUACGCGAUGCAGGAGUGCGUGACCUUGCGCAAUCGCGUAAGUCCUGACGCACCCAUGCUCCUAGAACUAUGAUAUUCUUAGAAUAGUAAAAUUCUUUUACCUAUGACGAUAAUGACGGUACCCGGAGAGAAAGCCCCGGCUAACUUCGUG